GUCCAGUUCACCAGAAGAAAAUCAAACUUUCAGAACGGGUGGCCACUCCGAAUUCCCUCACAGCUCGAAGCCCACUAUGGUUGGGGAUUACCUGCGUGGAUGAAAAUAAAAAGGGUGAGUUUGGGGAAACUCAGUGUGUAAGGAAAACCCAUUCAAAGCCCAAGUCUGAUCAAGCCUAUUGGGCCUAAGCCCAUUAAGGUAACAGUGGUACUGGACCAGAGCCCUUUUCAGAUUACAAUAAACUGGGCCUUAGCCCCUUAUUCAGAUAACAGUAUGGCCCAUAGGCCCAUUUUAAAAUACAUGCAACAUCAAUAACAUAUGCAAGCCCAUUUGGGGAGACUACUCAACCCACCAACCACUACACUCCACCCGUACCAGCCUUACACUCUAUGUGGGGAAUAGCUCAACCCACCCAGCCCAACACUCCACAGUUGCAGCCUUGCUGCUCAGUUAACAGUAAAUUGAGGCAAAGCCUCCAGUACGUGGACAAGCCACUUUCAGUACUUCCUCCGUCAAUAUCCCAAUCCCAUGCAUCAGAUAAUAACAACAUGGCAUGCAAUAAAUAACAACAGUCAAACAUGCAUUUAGGUCAAUUUAACCCUAGGGGUAUUUUGGUAAUUUAUCUACUAGGGGUAAAAUUGUAAAUUUUCCACUUUUAAAGGUAUUUCAGUAAUUUAUCUAUUUUAGGGUUUUUCAUGCAUAUUCCUACUUUUCACGUACUAACAAAAUCACAUACCGAGGGUUCUUACCGAAUUGGGCCCGUUGGCCCAUCAUUCCAAUUUUGGCUCAUUAAGCCCAAAAAUAUCGAGGGCACAGAAAUCAUGCACUUUACAGUCCAAAUUUUGCAGCUUACCAAAAACAUUAAUCGAUUUACCUCACGAGCAUUCGUACACUCGCAAAUCUAUAAAAUACCGGUUUUCGGCAUUUCGGCUUUUCGACUUUUGCCGAUCCAGACUAAGAAAGAGGGUGUUAGUUACACACCUGUUUGCGACGAUAUGCUGACGAGAUCCACACACGAACUGCCUACAAUUGGAUUACUAACACAUUAAUCUAACUAUUCAAAUACAAACUACGUAUUAACCCCUUACAAUAUUCGGCCAACCACACCUACAGAUCAUAGUAAGCUUAUAAGAAAUCAAUAAGCAACUCAUUAACAAAUUUUUGUCAAUGUUUACCACAUAAUCAUAAUCUCACUGCAAGCUGUCUUCCUGAACAACAGUCACUAAAUCAUUUAUAACUGGAGCUACGAAACUCCAAAUCAAGUGCCGUUAAUUUUCCUUGAAAAUAGACUCAUAUAUCUUAUAUUCAUAAAAUUUUCAGAAUUUUUGGUUUAGCCAAUCAAUACCAGAUUUUUCUUAAUGUUUCCCAUGUUUCACUGUUUGACUAAUCUGACCACUCUUCAUUACGAAUCAAAUUUCUCAUUGUACAGAAUUCAAAAUAUGUUCUCGUUUAUUUCAUUUGAAACUAGACUCAACAAGAUUUAAUUACAUAAUUUAUUCAGCUUCUAACUCAUCUCCCACAAUUUAUGGUGAUUUUCCAAAUUCACGUUACUGCUGCUGUCCCAAGCAGAUUUAUUACCAAAUCACUCUUUCACACAUAACUUGCAUGUAUGUUUUUUUUAAACAUGUAUAUCACCAAUCAAUCAUCACAUAUCUAUGAUUUUACUUAAGUAUAAUCUCCAUUUAAUCAUUUUAAAGAACAACAUAUUAGCCGAUUUUUUUCCCUUUAGCAUCUAAGGCACAUGCAUGCUCAUUUGUUUGGCUCAACUUCACCUAUCUUCCAUUUUUCAUCAAAAGAACAUGAAACAACAACCAUUUCCUUCAUUUUAAUUCAUGACUAAAUGCUCACAACACAACUAAAAACCAAAAUAUGCUUCAAGAGUUAAGGUAGAAUCAAGAACUCAUGAAUUUCAAAAUAGAAGCAAGGUACCAUGAACUUACCUUCAAUUUUUUUCCCCAAGUGACCGAACAUUCAAGAGCUUUCUCCUCUCCUUUCUCUUCUCUAACUUUAGGCUAUGAUGAACAAAGAUAGACAAAACUUUGUUCUUUU
rnacentral:lncRNA from 1 species